CAAGGUAAGAACAUAAGGGAAAAAGCAUAGAACAAACCCUAAAGAAGAAAAUCAAGAGAAAACUCAUUGGAUUACAAGGAAUUAAGCAAGGUGGUGAAACUUCCGAUAAGGGUAAGGAGAUUGUACCCGAAGAUCGGGACUAGGAGUAAUUCGACUCCCGAUAUUGCUGGGUAGUAAUAUAAUUGCCAUGUCAUGCUGUCGAAACUUUUAUUGAUUUGAUGGGAUAUUGAUUAGUCACUGUUGUGGUGGGUUUCCGUGGACCAGCCUACUAGAAAGGGGUGCAAUAAACCUGGUUAUAUUUUACCUCGGUACGAGAGGCGCUGAAGGUAUCUCUUGAGGUAAAGCUUUAGAGUU